rnacentral:rRNA from 1 species
GACGAACGCUGGCGGCGUGCUUAACACAUGCAAGUCGAACGGAAAGGCCCUGCUUUUGUGGGGUGCUCGAGUGGCGAACGGGUGAGUAACACGUGAGUAACCUGCCCUUGACUUUGGGAUAACUUCAGGAACCGGGGGCAAAUACCGAUAGGAGCCCCUGCCGCAUGGUGGGGGGUGGAAAGGUUUGGCGGUUGGGGAUGGACUCGCGGCUUAUCAGCUUGUUGGUGGGGUAGUGGCUUACCAAGGCUUUGACGGGUAGCCGGCCUGAGAGGGUGACCGGCCACAUUGGGACUGAGAUACGGCCCAGACUCCUACGGGAGGCAGCAGUGGGGAAUAUUGCACAAUGGGCGGAAGCCUGAUGCAGCAACGCCGCGUGCGGGAUGACGGCCUUCGGGUUGUAAACCGCUUUCGCCUGUGACGAAGCGUGAGUGACGGUAAUGGGUAAAGAAGCACCGGCUAACUACGUG